rnacentral:misc_RNA from 1 species
AGCAGCUUCAAAGGUAGAAAAAGACUGAUAAACCAUACUUUGGAUGCCACAAAAGAUGAUUUGUGUCUAUAGAUCAAUAAUCAUUAAGUUUUAUCCUAGAAGUAGAACAAGUGAACAUGUCAUUCUACAAGAAUUGCAGAACCUUAAAAUCUAACUCUGGAAAAUUCACUUUUCUGCAUUAGAGGCAGAGGGAAAAAAGUUCACUUCAUUUACCUUUUUCUGGGUAGAUUCUGGAGAUUUUUGUGCUGAUACAACUUGAUCAGACAGAUCAGUACACCUCUAUGACUGAUACAAAGACAUUUUAUUGCUUUCAGACUUUCAUGUAAUAUACCUAUACCUUCCAAGUUCCAAUUACUCUCUUUCAGCUCAGCUCACUUUUCAAGUAUAUAUGUUCUUGCUCAUGCCACUCUCUGCAGGAAUUGCUGCUUAUUCUAUCAUGUUAUGCUUAAAGUUGCAAGGUCUCUUGCCCACUCUCUGCUGCAUUUAGUCCUUUUUCAAUUCCAUUUUGUGUUCGACUUUCGUCUUCUUUACCUUUGCCCAAGCAAGAAGUGAUUUCAGUUUGUCAUUCCUGAAAUUCGUCAUAAAUUAGAUUCUGAAACCACGCAGAAUGCAAGAGCUUGUAAGAUGAAAAUUGCUCAUAGCAUUUACUUUGCAUUACUUCAAAGUAUUUCCGGAUUGAAGAAUGCUUACUGUUCGCGUUCAGCUUUUCCACGAGUAUCUUCAUGGACUUUGAGUUUAUUGGAGGACGAACGACUUGGUUUUCUAUUUGAAUAAGUCUUCUCUAGUCCCUCAUGAUUCUGUUUCAGUGGCUGUCUCAUGAAGGUUUCACCUCCAUUUUUUGUUUUCUUGGAUGAGAAUCUCCUGGUCACUUCACUUGAAUGCGGUGGUUUAGCUGUGGCAUCUUUUUUUUUGUUCCAAUUCUUAUUCUUUAAGGUUUCAGCUUCUUCAAGUGACUGAAUGGCAAAUGCAGCUGCUGCUACUGCAGCUGUAAAUCCAUUGUAAAUGGAAUCUUGAUCUUGCUUCAUUUGGCUGCCACUCUGCCUUCGCAACCAAUUCAUGCUAUCUACAAAUGUAAAUCAUAAAAAAUUUUCCCAUAUUGUUUUUCAUAUGUUUUGCUUCACGAUUAACCAGAAAACAACUCCAAAUUAAGUUCCUUUCACCGAACAUUGUAAGGUGAUACAUAGGAAUAGCAUGCUUGAGAACAAAUGUAAGAUACAGCAAUACUGUUUAAGAAGCUGCAUAACUCAAAUUUAGCAUACACAAAAUGUAUCACUCUAUUCCAUCGUGUAAUUUAGUUCAGACUAAUUAUGUGUGAUUUACCGGUGAUCAUGUUUAUUUAUUUAUUUAUUUUUAUCAUUUAUUGGAUUGUGAAAACUAUGACCCAUACAUUUAGCAUUCCAAGUGUUAUAUUUUGUGGCUUGAAAUUUGGAUAUAUUUAUUCAUGGACCCGAAUUGUGAUCUGAUUCAAAAGUUUCACGUUGCGACGCAUUGGGAUAUUAUGGAAACACACUGGUGUUAGGAUUAGGGUUUGAGAGCUAUGAUUGAUUGUAUCUUGGUCUUUUCAUCGUAGUGAAACUUUUUUCUAUUGUUUUGCUUGUGUUCGUAAACCUUACGGUUGUGUUAUUAUUCAUCUCUUUUUUAUACCGUGUGAUUGUGCGAUUUGUGUGUAUGCCUUAGAUUUGCUUGCUAGUUAUAACACUAAGCAUAGCCAAUGAAUCUAACAAAUUCUGAUGUAUUAUUCAGCUAAUCAAAUCUCAAUCCUGUAAGUUGCUAAACACAUUUAUAAUGUAAAAUAAACCAAACUUGUAAAAUAUAAGAAAAGGAAACUUGGGAUUAGAGAAUACUACUUUGCCUUAUCAAAUACUUCAAUGUUUAGUCUCCUCUACCAAUCCUGCCUGGUUUUCCUGCUUUCCACAAGAAGAAACUCUGUGAACACAAAAAUAAGUUGGAGAGAAAGAUGCUAUAAGUAGAUAGAAAUCUGGAUGAAGAACUUGUGAUAAUUUAUAGCGUUCAGCUCUUGAAAAUGAACAGGUUCAGGCAAGAGAAGACGCCGCUUGACAUUCUGUUAUCCUAAGAUUCUUUACUUUCUCUUUCUUACAGAGGAUACACCCACCGAUUUGUUGAUA